CCUACGGGUGGCAGCAGUGAGGAAUAUUGGGCAAUGGACGGAAGGCUGACCCAGCAAUGCCGCGUGAAGGUAGAUGGCUUUCGGGUGGUAAACUUCUUUUGAGGGGGAACAGCAGUAGACAGUACCCCUUGAAUAAGCCUCGGCUAACUACGGGCCAGCGGCCGCGGUAAGACGUAGGUGGCAAGCGUUGUACGGAUUUACUGGGUGUAAAGGGCGUGACGCCGGGAAGACAAGUCAGAUGUGAAAUCCCGCGGUUAAACCGGGGAACUGCAAUUGAUACUGUCUUUCUUGAGUAUCGGAGAGGUGAUCGGAAUUCGUAGUGUAGCGGUGAAAUGCGUAGAUAUUAGGCAGAACACCAGUGGCGAAGGCGGAUUAC
rnacentral:rRNA from 1 species